rnacentral:ncRNA from 1 species
UUAUGCUUUAAAAAAUUUAUUAUAAAUUUAUUUUACAUAUAAAUUUUAGUAUGUAAUUUUAAUUAUUUUAAUAAUAAUUAAUUAAAUUUUAUAGUAAUUAAAAUUAAAAAUUUAAGAAAUUAAGAUUUAGUAAUAUUUAAAUUAAUAACUAAUUUUGUCCAGCAGUUGCGGUUAUACAAAAAUUAAAUUAAAUUAUUUCAGUAUUUAAUAAAUAAAAUUAAAUUAAAAUAAAUAUUAGAUUAUUAAGUGAAAUUUUAAUUUAAUUAAAUUUUAAAUAAAUUUUAUGACUUAAUAAAUUUAAUAAUAAACUAGGAUUAGAUACCCUAUUAUUAAAAAUUUAAUUUAUAAUACUAAAAUAGUAGAUAAUAGAUAUGAAACUUAAAUAAUAUGGCGGUAUUUUAGUUCAUUUAGAGGAAUCUGUCUAAUAAUUGAUAAUCCACGAAUAAAUUUACUUAAUUUAAAAUUUUAUAUAUCGUUGUUAAAAAAAUAUUUUAUAAUAAAAAUAAUAUUUAAAAAUUAAAAAAAAAAUUAAUUCAGAUCAAGAUGUAGAUUAUAAUUAAGAAUAGGAUGGAUUACAAUAAAAUAAUUUAUGAUGAAUAAUAUAAUUUUAAAAUUAAUUUGAAGGUGGAUUUAAAUGUAAUUUUAAUUAAUUUAUUAAAAUGAUUAAAAAUUAAAAUAUGUACAUAUUGCCCGUCACUUUCAUUUUAAAAUUGGAAUAAGUCGUAACAAAGUAGAAGUACUGGAAAGUGUUUCUAGAAUGAA